rnacentral:ncRNA from 2 species
AUAGGGAGCUCAAAUAGAUGGGCUGAGAGUAGACUUGAUUAGUCUUGACCUGGAACCUGAUUUGGAUAAUGCCAACGUAGGGAAAUAGGAAAU